AUAUCAAUAAGCGGAGGAAAAGAAACUAACAAGGAUUCCCCUAGUAACGGCGAGUGAAGCGGGAAGAGCUCAAAUUUAAAAUCUGGUUUGCUUGCAAAUCCGAGUUGUAGUCUGAAGAAACGUUUUCCAUGAAAGCUGAGGCACAAGUCCUUUGGAACAGGGCGUCAUAGAGGGUGAGAAUCCCGUCCUUGACAUGGACUACCAGUGCUUUGUGAUAUGUUUUCAACGAGUCGAGUUGUUUGGGAAUGCAGCUCAAAAUGGGUGGUAAAUUCCAUCUAAAGCUAAAUAUUGGCGAGAGACCGAUAGCGAACAAGUACCGUGAGGGAAAGAUGAAAAGCACUUUGGAAAGAGAGUUAAACAGUAUGUGAAAUUGUUGAAAGGGAAACGAUUGAAGUCAGUCGUGUCUAUUGGACUCAGCCGGUUCUGCCGGUGUACUUCCUUUAGAUGGGGUCAACAUCAGUUUUGAUCGCUGGAAAAGGGCAGGAGGAAUGUAGCACUCUCGGGUGAACUUAUAGCCUUCUGUCGCAUACAGUGGUUGGGACUGAGGAACGCAGCUUGCCUUUAUGGCCGGGAUUUAUCCACGUACAAGCUUAGGAUGUUGACAUAAUGGCUUUAAACGA
rnacentral:rRNA from 1 species